rnacentral:rRNA from 1 species
UACGGGGGGGGUAAGCGUUGUUCGGAAUUACUGGGCGUAAAGGGCUCGUAGGCGGCCAACUAAGUCAUACGUGAAAUCCCUCAGCUUAACUGGGGAACUGCGUGUGAUACUGGAUGGCUUGGAUUUGGGAGAGGGGAUGCGGAAUUCCAGGUGUAGCGGUGAAAUGCGUAGAUAUCUGGAGGAACACCGGUGGCGAAGGCGGCAUCCUGGACCAAUAUUGACGCUGAGGAGCGAAAGCCAGGGGAGCAAACGGG